rnacentral:lncRNA from 1 species
UUUUGUGAAAGCAAGGGUGAGUACACAUCAACGUACUCAGCAAAUGUCCCGUUUGGCUGUAGUGAACUAGCUUUAUGUGGGGUUAAGUCAAGCAGUUGCUUUUAGUUGGUCAGGUUAUUAUUACUAGUAGAAAGCCAGGUUUUAGCAUUAACCCAAGUUCUUAACCCAAAGUACCCUUUCCAAACGGAAAGAAUACCACUUACCAUUACCAUAAUCAUAAUAAAAAAAAACCAUCAUCCUCAUCACCACCUGCAAACCAACCAUCUCUGGUCAAAGUAUCUCUAAUCAAAGAGGAUCCCAAGGCCGCUCAUAACCGUGAGCACGACUGAUAUAUCAGUUUCGUUACCCUCUGCAGAGGUCGCACACUUUACCCAUGAGCCGUGAUUCCCGUUUUGCCCGGGGAUCAUCACUCCCCAUUGAUCACUUCCUAGGUGGUCCGGCAGGGUAUCACUACGUAGCCUUUACAAAGAUUCCUUAGAGGUCAUAGCCGCCCGUUAGGUUUCUCCAGUUUGAUAAACACAGUACCUCUCCCCGCAGGAGGGUGACUAACAAAAGCAAAACAAAAGAACCUCGGUACUCAGCCUCGGCAGAGCAAGUACUGUGCCUGGACCCCAUUGACGACACGACGGCGAAGCAACUACACCUCUAGUUCCUCUAAUUAAUUAGCUAAGGGCAUCCCAUUUCACCCUCAUGGUUGCACUGUUAUCCCGGGUGGUCUCUCAACGAACAGGUCCUUACGGAGAGGUACUCGGGAAACAGCCCGAGUCCCCUAAAUGCCACAAGUAUAUCAUCAUAUCCAGAAUAAAAUCAUAGUAUCAUCAUUGUAUCUCAUCAUGUUCAUUGAUUAAAGUAAAGCGCUAGCAUGUAGCUAACCAUAGUGACCCCAAAAGGUAAAUUAAGGACAAGGUAAAUAGAAAGCUAGUAAAUCCUUAGGUUGUUCAUAGUAUGCGGGACAGUGUAUUAUAAAGUAAAUGGGACAUAAUGGGUCAGAGGACACUUGCCUUCACCAAACAAAUGCUCAGGAUCUUCAGCCUCGUAGAACUCGAAGAACCAGAUCACUUGGUCGCCAACCCUUGAUCUUCGAUCCCUCGAAGCUCGGAAACGAAUCGCGAUCUAAUCACAACGCGAAGCGAAGACGAACAAGCACAUGCAAACAAACAUAUAUAAAUGCAUAAGAACAUUACACCAUACAAGAUAAAAUGUUAUAAAAACAUGCAGCAUAAAAUACAGCUCGAUUCUAUGGUCACGCGAGGGAAAGAAAUGUCGAACUCGGAGCGACGGUCGGGAAAAUAUCGUGUUUACGCUAAACAAGUAUUAACGCUAACAAUUAAUUCGACCUUACCAAUUAUAAACUAUAUCCACUAUUUGGUUUGAUUAAUCGGCUACACUAACAACUAUCAAAUAAAUAAGUAAUAUAAUUAGCAUGAGAGAUUCUAAGCCAGGUAAGUUUACUAUGCGCGAAACAGCACGACAGCGCGAAACAACACGACAGCGCGAACGAUGCGUGAAACAGCACGCGACCACAAGCACAUCACGCGCGCAAGCGCGCGCGACAGGCGAGAAAGACUAAAUAGAUGACGCGUUUAUACUAAACAAGAAAUGACUAAUUGGUGUGGGCUACCAUAAUCAAAAUAUUAAACAACACGAGGACAACGUGAAACGGCGCACGAGGGCGAUGGCUACAACGGCGCACGACAGCUCACUCGACCGAGCGAGGGCACGUGUAUGACUAGACGACGAACAACGAACGACGCGCACAAGGGUUGGAUCGAGGGUGCGCAGGUUGCGCAAUGACCACUCCGAACCGGCGACGCCGAGGCUUAGCGCAGGGACAACUUCGCUGGCCGAGGGACGGGGAGGGUAACGACGAGCAGGAGAGCGGGGGGCUUGGCGUCGAGCUCCUAGGGACCGUGCCCCGGUCGGCUGAGCCGCGGACACGUGCACGAAGGGGAGGGCAGGGGCUGCUGACCACCGCGCGCGGGGACACAACCUCGGACUCGCCCGGCGAGGGUGCUGGUCGUCGGUGGGUCGGAGGCGCAGCGACAGUUGCCCGCACGCGCGUGCGCGACCAUGGGUGAGGCAGCAACGACUGGACAUAUGGCGGCGUGCGAGGGGCUCGACAGUGGAGCCUCGCCACCGCAACGGGCUCGAUCGAGGCCGACCAUGGCAAGCGCAGGGAAGGGCAUGGGAGAGGGGGGGGGGGGGUAAGCGACGAGCUUCACCUCCAACGAUGAACACCAGUGGGAGCACGGACGACGACACAUGGAGCUUCGGCGGUCGACGCGACGCGAGCUUCGGACGGGUCGGCAAGGGCCGACCGCGACGCCGCUGCGUUGGGCAGGGAGCCGCGCCGCGCACGGGGCUGCUGCGGCUAGGGCUGGCUGGGUCUGGCCGCCGUGCCACGCUGGCUGAGAGCCGUUGGCUGCGCGCCACGGGCCGCUGGCCGCGUUGGCUGGGAGCGCCGAGCUCACGCGCGCUCGCGCAGGCUGGCCGCGCCGGGGGUGGAGCAGGGGCGGCUGGCCGGGCUGCACCGCCGGCCGUCGCGCCAUGGCCACCGGUCACUGCGCCGGUCUCGCAAGGUCCCCCAAUGGAACUGGUGAGGGAGAAACAAGGGAGAGAUGGGGGAAGAAGGUGGAAUAGUGCGGGCGUGGGGGCGCGCUUGGCGAACGGAGAAGUUCGGGAAGAUGAACAGUGGGCGACGCUCGUUCGAUUGACAGGUGGACCCGGCGGCGCGCGUGGCUGGGGAAUGCGACGGCGCGGGCGCUAGGGUUUAGGGGAGGGGCGCGCUGUGCUGGGUGGGCCGUUGGGCUGGCGCACGGAGGGGGGGAGGUGCGGGUUGGGCCUGCUGGGCCGCGGGCGCGAGGCAGGCCGAGGGGAGGGGUGCGCUGGGCUGCGGGCGCGAGAGGCGAGCCGGGCCAGCCAGGGGGAGGCCAGAGCUGGGUGGGCUGGCAGGGGGGAGGGGAGGAAAAGGUUUUUCUUUUGUUCUUAUUUGAUUUUAUUCUAUUUCCUUUCUUCUUACUAUUUGAAUCUAAACUCCUAAAUUAAAUGAAUGCCCAACGAAAUCACUCCACAAACAAAAUAAUAUAUGCUCCGACAUGAUGCAACAAUCAAAGCACCUCUAGGGUUUUAUUUUAGUAGGCUUACAUAUAUAAAACAAAAUAACUCUCCACUAUUUGGAAAAAAGAUUAAAAAAGAAGGAUAGAAAGAGGGUAACACCUGAAUUUGGUGGAUAUUAGAAAAAGAAAUUUUACACCCCAAAUUCAGGCUGUUACAAAUCUAACCCCCUUAACAGAAUCUCGCCCUCGAGAUUCAAGAAGAGGCUAGCAAGAAAAUGAGAUUGGUUCAUUGAUUUUUCGUAGCUUCUUCUAAGUCAGCUUUGGCUCUGCCAGCUUUAACUUGCCGACUGGUUGCUUUGACCUUCAGAUGCUUGAGAUCGAUUGAUGCAAUUCUUGAGGAUCUCUUGGGCCUAUGGGUUAGGACCCACACACGCUUUCGCUGCGCCACUCUGAUCUUGUUGGUUGAUGUUGAUCACAUUGUCUUCAUUGGGGUUAGCGACUAACCCCCUUAACAGGAGCAUUGAUACGCACUUGAUGAAGAUGCUGCCAACUCUGAUCUUGACUGAUUAUGAGAGGUUGGAGGUUGCCAAAUGGAUAGGUGCAAGAGGAAAGAAUAGCGAGAAAAGGUAAGUAAAGAUGGAUUAGAGAGAGCAGGGAGAGAACCCAACUACUUAACUCUAUGGUACUCAGCUAGUAAACAGAUGCCAUUGUGGACCAAGGGCCACAACACUUCAACACUCAUCACAAAGAAGCAAAUCAGUCAUAACACAAGGACAACCAGCACAAGCAUACAAUAACAAACAUCUCGUUGCUAUACGUUCCUUUUAAUUAAAUGGUGGUCUUUCCUUAAAGGGGAAUAACUACUCUCUAAGUUGUUGGAGGACAAGGAGAAAAACAAGACGGGUAGGAUAGGGACACAAGCACAAUAAGGGGUGGAGUUAAAGCAAGAAUUGUAAUCGACAAGGGAGAAAAUGCAACCAAGGACAGGGUAGGUAAAACAUCAUUCUCUAAUCGAGGUGAGAAAGACGAUAUUUCAAAUGAUAGGCAUAGGAUAAGCAUCAUGGAAAGAUCUAGUGAUGACAAAGGUAAAGGAGGUAACAGACAAAAGCACACCAAAAGAUCGAGUUAAGACAAGAUUUGCAACGUGAUAGAGGAAUAGGGAACGAACAAGAGCAGGGAGGGGUAAGACAACACUCUUGAACUAAAAUGGGCGAGGAAGCUUUAGAAUAUGAGUACAUGAUAAGCAUCAAGGUAAAGAUCGAUGGAUGACAAGGGUUAAGGUGAUAACGGACAACCACACAACAAAGGAUGUAUUUUAGACAGAACUUGCAAGGUGUCAAAGAAUGGGGAGCAGUCAAUGAUGAACUAGAUUAGGCAUCAUCUCCAAACAGGGAUGGAAAAGAGGAGGCUCCCAAGGAUAGGUUCAAUGUAAGCAGGAAGGCAAGGGCAUAGAUAUCACGAGGGUUUUAAAGAUAAUAAUGGUCAAGGGUGUAUGAGAGGAGAUAAUUAGUUCAUACGACAAAGGAUAUAAGUACCAUAAAGGAUGGAGUUAAGAUCGGACCUUCAAAUGGAAAAGGAGAGGAUACGCUCAAGGGCCAGGUGGGUAAAUCACCGCUCUCAAAUUGAGGAAGAAGAGAGGGGAUUUUUAAAGAGCAGGAAUGGAGAUAAAUGUCAAGGUAAGAUCGAUAGAUGACAAAGGAAUGGUGAUAGCAAAUAAAAACACAUCAAAGGAUGGAGUUAGGACAAAACCUGUAAGGUGACAAGGAGUGAAACGAAAUCAAGGGAGAGAUAGGUAGCUCACAACUCACAAACUGGGUUGAAAGAAAGGGGAGGCUUUUAAAGGAUAAGUUCAAGGUAAGCAUUUAGGUAGAAGACAUCAAUAUUGCAAGGGUCAAAGGCGAUAACAGACAAGGGUAUGAGAGAAAAGAUGAAGGCAUUGAAGAGCCAGCGGCACAAGUACAACCCAGAAUGGGGUCACGACAAGACUUGCACAUGGCAAAGAUGAGGUUACGAACAAGGGCGGAACAAGUAAAACACCACUCUCGAACUAAGAUGGGAGAUUAGAGAUUUUAGAUAAUAGACAUAAUGUAAUCACAAGGUAGGAUAGAGUGAUGAGAAGGGUAAAGAAGAUGACAAACAAAACACAACAAAUGAUAGAGUUAAAAAAACUUGCAGGUGACAAAGAAGAGGAUACGACCAAGGGAAAAUAGGUACAGUACAAUGCUCAGAUUGAGAUGGAAAAUAGGAUAUUUUAAAGGCUGAUAUAAGAUAAACAUCAAGGUAAGAUAUAUAGGUGAUAAGGGUAAAGGUGGUAAUGAUGAAAAGCAUAACCAUGGAUAGAGUUAAGGCAAGACUGACAAAGUGGAGAAAACAAGCAAGGGUAAGAUAGGUAAGGUUCCAACAAAAUGGUUGAAGUAAAGAAAAUUAAUUACCAAGUGGAGUUACAAGGAGACAACGAGAUUACCAAGGAUAUGCAAAAUAAAAUGACCGCUCAUGGAUCAUUAAGAAACAAGAGUGGUCAAGGGCACGUUAACUGAAAUGUCUUAAACAGACAUUGGGGUAUGAAAAUAAGCAUACAUAAGAAUAUAAGAGUAUGCAAGAUUCCAAGGAUACGAGCAUACUAAGACCAAGGGCAUAGAAAUUUCCGAAAGAUAACGACUUAACAACAAAAUAAGAAAGGAUCUCAGAAGACAAGAAGGUCAUGGAUACAUAAACUGAACUGUUUAAAUAGGCAACAGAGGUACAAGGGUAAGUAAUUUAGAUCAAGGGAUAAGGGUAUUAAAAAUGUAAGGAUAUGAGCAUGUCAAUAACAAAAUGGAAUAGAGGUCAAAUGGUAGCAAUUUAAUAAUAGAAGGGGAAAGAGUCUCAAAAGACUAAAGGUUAUGGCUAGGGGGCAUCUACAAGGAUGUCGCAAGCAUAAGAGUGAGAUCAGAUCUAAUAGAUUGAGAGAAGUAUAAACCAUAUUAGAAUAAAAUACUUUUCGCAAGGAGGCAUAUAGGAGCAAACAUAGAAUUAGUCGAGGUGACUAAUAUUUUGAAGCAGAAUCAAGGAUGAGGUGAAGUAAUAGUCAAUAAGUCCUUAAAACGGCCAAUGCUACUCCAGGUCAGCGGUCCUACAGUCAACCUGGCUUUGAUACCACUUAUGUCACACCUGGUUUUGAAGGUAGACCGAAUGCGAACCAUGUACGUGCCAGGAUCAGUAAUUCACGUACACGACGAUUACAUAAAUGACUCAUCAUAGCACAAUGCUUCGAAUUACAAUAAAGAGUAAGUAAUAAUAUUACAGACUAGAGCCAUUUACAUAAUAUAAAUCAAAGUACACAGAAUCGAAACGUAGCCAACGUAAACAACCCACCACAGGCAGCUGACUGGGAGAGGUCGCUAGCCUAGUUCUCGAACUCGUCAAAGUCCUGGAACUCCUGGAGAUCCGCCUCGACGCCUUCUUCUUUACCUGAGCAUAGAUUGCACCAAAGGCAACCUGGUGUUUUGUGAAAGCAAGGGUGAGUACACAUCAACGUACUCAGCAAAUGUCCCGUUUGGCUGUAGUGAACUAGCUUUAUGUGGGGUUAAGUCAAGCAGUUGCUUUUAGUUGGUCAGGUUAUUAUUACUAGUAGAAAGCCAGGUUUUAGCAUUAACCCAAGUUCUUAACCCAAAGUACCCUUUCCAAACGGAAAGAAUACCACUUACCAUUACCAUAAUCAUAAUCAAAAAAACCAUCAUCCUCAUCACCACCUGCAAACCAACCAUCUCUGGUCAAAGUAUCUCUAAUCAAAGAGGAUCCCAAGGCCGCUCAUAACCGUGAGCACGACUGAUAUAUCAGUUUCGUUACCCUCUGCAGAGGUCGCACACUUUACCCAUGAGCCGUGAUUCCCGUUUUGCCCGGGGAUCAUGACUCCCCAUUGAUCACUUCCUAGGUGGUCCGGCAGGGUAUCACUACGUAGCCUUUACAAAGAUUCCCUAGAGGUCAUAGCCGCCCGUUAGGUUUCUCCAGUUUGAUAAACACAGUACCUGUCCCCGCAGGAGGGUGACUAACAAAAGCAAAACGAAAGAACCUCGGCACUCAGCCUCGGCAGAGCAAGUACUGUGCCUGGACCCCAUUGACGGCACGACGGCGAAGCAACUACACCUCUAGUUCCUCUAAUUAAUUAGCUAAGGGCAUCCCAUUUCACCCUCAUGGUUGCACUGUUAUCCCGGGUGGUCUCUCAACGAAUAGGUCCUUACGGAGAGGUACUCGGGAAACAGCCCGAGUCCCCUAAAUGCCACAAGUAUAUCAUCAUAUCCAGAAUAAAAUCAUAGUAUCAUCAUUGUAUCUCAUCAUGUUCAUUGAUUAAAGUAAAGCGCUAGCAUGUAGCUAACCAUAGUGACCCCAAAAGGUAAAUCAAGGACAAGGUAAAUAGAAAGCUAGUAAAUCCUUAGGUUAUUCAUAGUAUGCGGGACAAUGUAUUAUAAAGUAAAUGGGACAUAAUGGGUCAGAGAACACUUGCCUU